rnacentral:rRNA from 1 species
UCGGGAAUUUUGGGCAAUGGGGGAAACCCUGACCCAGCAACGCCGCGUGAAGGAUGAAGUAUUUCGGUAUGUAAACUUCGAAAGAAUAGGAAGAAUAAAUGACGGUACUAUUUAUAAGGUCCGGCUAACUACGUGCCAGCAGCCGCGGUAAUACGUAGGGACCAAGCGUUGUUCGGAUUUACUGGGCGUAAAGGGCGCGUAGGCGGCAUGACAAGUCACUUGUGAAAUCUCUGGGCUUAACCCAGAACGGCCAAGUGAUACUGUCGCGCUAGAGUGCAGAAGGGGCAAUCGGAAUUCUUGGUGUAGCGGUGAAAUGCGUAGAUAUCAAGAGGAACACCUGAGGUGAAGACGGGUUGCUGGGCUGACACUGACGCUGAGGCGCGAAAGCCAGGGGAGCAAACAGGAUUAGAUACCCCUGUAGUCCCUGAGCGGGCUGGCAAGGCGCAU